AUUGCCAGAAGAGGUGCGUUGCCCAGGUAACCGUAUUGGAGGAACCAGUCCGGGGAAGAUACGUGAGGGGGAGCAACGCCGAGGUGAAAGAGCGUCUGGUCACGCUCCUCGCCGGCCACAGGGGCUGAAUCCCCUGGGUUGUCACCAGAAACGUUCGCAGUCGGGCGUUUCAUACCCGAACACCUCAGCGCCCAAAGCGGUGAGUCGGGUCUACAAGGUGGAGCACUUCUGGGUGA
rfam:Klebsiella pneumoniae subsp. pneumoniae MGH 78578, complete sequence.